UACGUAAGGUGCGAGCGUUAAUCGGAAUUACUGGGCGUAAAGGGCGCGUAGGUUGUUAUUUAAGUGAGAUGUGAAAUCCCCGGGCUUAACCUGGGAACUGCAUCUUAUACUGGGUAACUGGAGUGCAAUAGAGGGUAGUGGAAUUUCCGGUGUAGCGGUGAAAUGCGUAGAUAUCGGAAGGAACACCAGUGGCGAAGGCGGCUACCUGGAUUGACACUGACACUGAGGCGCGAGAGCGUGGGGAGCAAACAGG
rnacentral:rRNA from 1 species